AACGAACGCUGGCGGCAGGCCUAACACAUGCAAGUCGAGCGAGGACUUCGGUUCUAGCGGCGGACGGGUGAGUAACGCGUGGGAAUGUGCCCUUCUCUACGGAAUAGCCCUGGGAAACUGGGAGUAAUACCGUAUACGCCCUAUUGGGGAAAGAUUUAUCGGAGAAGGAUCAGCCCGCGUUGGAUUAGGUAGUUGGUGGGGUAAUGGCCUACCAAGCCGACGAUCCAUAGCUGGUUUGAGAGGAUGAUCAGCCACACUGGGACUGAGACACGGCCCAGACUCCUACGGAGGGCAGCAGUGGGGAACCUAGACAAUGGGGGCAACCCUGAUCUAGCCAUGCCGCGUGAGUGAUGAAGGCCUUAGGGUUGUAAAGCUCUUUCAGCUGGGAAGAUAAUGACGGUACCAGCAGAAGAAGCCCCGGCUAACUCCGUG
rnacentral:rRNA from 1 species